CUAUCUGUUUGUCUGUCUUCCUGGCUGGGCGUGGUUGACCUACUUUCCGUUUUCCGCCAACUCACCUCCGCUCCUGUUUCUCAUCAUCACUGAUUACCACCACUCACCUGCUGCUGCUUAAAACUCCGGUUCGAUCAUCAGACUUCGCCAGUUCUUCGUAUACUCACAGUGAAACUCCACAUUCCAUUCCGUCCUGCCUGCCACGUCCAGCCCAACCUCCGUCUCAGCCCUGCUCCACGUUCUCCCCACUCUGUUCAGAGUUUGCUUUGUCCCCUGCCUGGUUUUUGUGGACUUAUUAAAUCCAGUCUUUUUGACACUUCA